AGAGGAGCGACCGAGCGACCAUGGCGUUUCAGCGGCGGUUUGUUUGCUCGCGUCCCUGAAAUAUCAGAGGAGGAAGAAAAUGGCGUCUGGAACUAGCAGCUGAUCGAUAAUGAAUAUCUUGGGUGAUCGACAAUGAAGCUGAGGACGGCUUCAAGCUGCCUGGGGGAACCGCCCGACCCAUCAAAGCACACUUCAGGUUCAGAGGGGUGCUGGUAUCCAUCUCCAGGGGUCAAAGGGCAAGAGGAAGGGUACACACUGGACAGGUCACCAAUCCCUCACUUGGCAGAU